rnacentral:rRNA from 1 species
GACGAACGCUGGCGGCGUGCUUAACACAUGCCAGUCGAACGGAAAGGCCUCUUUCGGGGGGUACUCGAGUGGCGAACGGGUGAGUAACACGUGAGUAACCUGCCCUUGACUUUGGGAUAACUUCAGGAAACUGGGGCUAAUACCGGAUAGGAGCUCCUGCUGCAUGGUGGGGGUUGGAAAGUUUCGGCGGUUGGGGAUGGACUCGCGGCUUAUCAGCUUGUUGGUGGGGUAGUGGCUUACCAAGGCGUUGACGGGUAGCCGGCCUGAGAGGGUGACCGGCCACAUUGGGACUGAGAGACGGCCCAGACUCCUACGGGAGGCAGCAGUGGGGAAUAUUGCACAAUGGGUGGAAGCCUGAUGCAGCAACUCCGUGUGCGGGAUGACGGCCUUAGGGUUGUAAACCGCUUUCGCUCAUGACGAAGCUUUGUGUGACGGUAGUGGGUAAAGAAGCACCGGCUAACUACGUG